UUUGUCCCGGUCUUUGGGGCCUUUGGGGCCGUUUUUUCACAAGCACGUUGGUGAACAUGGAUUUGAGAGACUGAGCCUGGGGCCCUUGCGUUGCCUUUGUUGGUGAUGCGGGCCCGAGUCAAAAACCAAAAUAACGACUCUCAGCAACGGAUAUCUUGGCUCUUGCAACGAUGAAGAACGCAGCGAAAUGCGAUACCUAGUGUGAAUUGCAGAAUUCCGCGAAUCAUCGAGUCUUUGAACGCAAGUUGCGCCCGAGGCUUGUCCCGAGGGCAUGCCUGCCUGAGCGUCACCGCACUCCCACGUGGAUACUCUCCACUGUGGAAUUGGCUGUCCGGGAUCCGGCGUGAAGCAGUGGGUCGUGGUCGGCUGAAAUGUAGCGUGUAUUGGGGAUGCAGCCGGGGAGAGGCCGCGAGAAGGUGAUUCGCUCUUUGCCGAGCGGAGUCUUAUUGGACAGCGCUUCUCUCUUGGGUGGUCCCCGACGGUGGCACUGAACUUUGUGUGUCUUUGGGGAGCGCAAGUAAUAUUGCAUCUCCCCUCCCCUAUAGCUUGGACCUCAGAUCAGGCAAGAUUACCCGCUGAGUUUAAGCAUAUCACUAAGCGGAGGAAAAGAAAC
rnacentral:rRNA from 1 species